CUUUUUCUUUUUCUCUCGUUGAAACCUUCGCCGAAGUCCUUCUCUAUCCCUCUCGCGACUUUUCGCCGAAGCCCUCCCCUCUAGAGCCCCAGCUCUCUCGCCCUCGGGAUUCUCGUAGCCGAAGCCCUCCCUCGCCGUGCCUCCCUCCUCGCCGCGACAACUACAAGCCCUCUCUCAAAGGAGCCCUACAUCGGAGAUCACAUGGACAGAUUCAAGAAAGACAUGAGGGAUUUCUUCUCUCGAAACUCCAGCUCUUCAAACGACACAAGAAAUCAAAGCUGGAUACCAGACAUGAAGAGGGAUUUUUUAUCCUCCUUUCGAAACUCCAACUCUUCGAACCGCACAAGAGCGGUAAGCAAUGACAGCGGGAUCAUGAACUCGUUAAGUUUUAGGGAUUCAGCUUUGGAAAACAAGAGCAGUAAGCUAAAGGUUGCAAGGGAUUCUAUCAAAGACUUCUUACACGGUCAUUUCCGUUUUGGUCCAUCAGAGCACAGGAGUCGUCCCUUCCCUUUAGAUAAAUAAUUGACCGGAAGACUCUAAAAUAUGGUUUGUAUACAAAAUUUGUGCUCAAAAAGAAAUGAGAAGAUUGUGGUGGAAGGUUGAGGCUUUUGUAUUCAUUGUAACUGUGGCACUGCGUGCAUGUGUUUAAGGUGUGUGCUUGUGAAUUGUGAUAUAUAUCUAUGAAUUCUCUUGGUUUGUGUUUAA